GCCGGAGUGGCGGAAUGGUAGACGCGCCGGACUCAAAAUCCGGUGACCGCAAGGUCGUGUGGGUUCGAGUCCCACCUCCGGUA
rnacentral:tRNA from 1 species